GGACUAAUAAGUAGUGUGUGUGGUUAGAGCGAGUCCUCUCCGGGGCCUGCUUUGGACAUGGCUGGGCCACCGGCAGUCCUACUGGGCCUUUGCUUCCCCCACAAAUUAAAUAUGCUACAAGGGUGGCACCGAGGGAGACCUAUUCAUGAUGGUUUCUUCCUCCUGCUCUUCCCUUGCUCAAGCAAACACCUACCAGAAGAGACCAGGAGAAAUGAACCUCCCACUCUCUUUCUUCAGCUGAAGUAUUUGAGAAGAAAAUUUGUGAGCUGAGACUGAGAAUGCUUUUCUUCCAAUAACCACUGAUGAGAGUUUUAUAAAACAACAGGU